UUCCUGAACCAACCUCCAUCUCCAUCUCCAUCACCACAUCGACCACCGCCCUCCAUCAUCGUCCUCAACCCCAAACGCCGUCGCACCCCGCCACCCACUCCGUCGCACACAUCCGCCUCCAUCUCCAUCACCACUUCCCCGUCGCUGGUUCCGACCACCACGGCCUCACCCGUCUUCUCCAACCACACCGGAACCAUCACGCACCACCGUUCGCCCUCACCUUCGCCUCCGGUCUCCGACAUCAGUUCCAAAUAAUUUACACAACCACAAAUUCACUCAGUUUAACGAAGCUUCCAAUUCGUGAUUUUGCUUUACUGAUUCCGUUUUAUUCAGGUUAUGUGUUAGAUUUGGAUAUCUGACCUGGCCACACGCAUACUUCAAGGAACUCUUUAAUCGGUUACGACUUUCAUGGAUUUAGGAUUUGUGUGUGUUUUGAAUUGAUUCGACGGUCAUUUGGGUGUAUGUUCUAUAUGAAUUUCCGCUUAUGCUGUGGGUUUUGGACGUCGCCGGGUAGCUGAUCAAGUUUGAGAUUGACGUUACGAUACAGGAGACGCACUUCAGUGAGAAAUUAGUGGAUCGGGCGGAGUAUGCGUUGUGUCAAGGCUGCGUAGUGAAUAAAGAUGUCAUCCGAGUCGUCGAGUUUAGGAGGUGGAUCCCUUUCCUGGACGGGAUACACAAUUCUAAACUUGGGUUUUUAUUUACGUGCUUUUGAUGACUCAUUGUGAACUCUGCUAAUCAUGUCAUGGUUGUAACUUACUUUAUGUGUCAACAUUUUCAAUCAAUGUCGUUGUGGUAUUUUUAACUUAAUGAAUGGAUGAACAUCUUGUGUU
rnacentral:lncRNA from 1 species